rnacentral:rRNA from 1 species
UAGGGAAUCUUCGGCAAUGGACGGAAGUCUGACCGAGCAACGCCGCGUGAGUGAAGAAGGUUUUCGGAUCGUAAAGCUCUUUUGUUAGAGAAGAACGUUGGUAGGAUUGGAAAAUCUACCAAGUGACGGUAACUAACCAGAAAGGGACGGCUAACUACGUGCCAGCAGCCGCGGUAAUACGUAGGUCCCGAGCGUUGUCCGGAUUUAUUGGUCGUAAAGCGAGCGCAGGCGGUUCUUUAAGUCUGAAGUUAAAGGCAGUGGCUUAACCAUUGUACGCUUUGGAAACUGGAGGACUUGAGUGCAGAAGGGGAGAGUGGAAUUCCAUGUGUAGCGGUGAAAUGCGUAGAUAUAUGGAGGAACACCGGUGGCGAAAGCGGCUCUCUGGUCUGUAACUGACGCUGAGGCUCGAAAGCGUGGGGAGCAAACAGG